rnacentral:tRNA from 1 species
CAGAUAUUAGUUUUAUUUAAAAUUUUAAUUUUGGAGAUUAAAGAUAGAAGUUUUCUAUAUCUGA